rnacentral:ribozyme from 1 species
UGCCCAGCAACUCCUAUCCCUACCUCCACGCAGUACCGGCCGGAAACUAUGAGCAACCUUAGGGAAGAUCGGGUAACCAACCCCGGUGGGAGCUUUGGUCGUAGGCUGACAGGGAAGG